CGCCUAUUGAUGAUAGUAUUGUCUUCUGGCCGGGGCAGUUUCGUUAAGGGCUUCGACUCGUUCUGAACGAUAAAACUCGUCGCUUGUGGUACGGCUUUGGAAAUCGGCGAGGUAUAAUACAAAUGAAAGGUUAAAUCACUACACACCUUUAUUCUGUUAAGGUUAGUGUUCGCACACGGUCAUAUUUCCAUGAUACUUACAAUGAAUGUUUACGGAAGACAGACAGCCACCCGUGUUAAUUAGCCAUCUAGCAUGCUUUGAAAACCUAUGCGUAAGCUAACUGGGGAGGAGGUGUAGUUCCUCAAAGUGGAGGAACAACGUAUGGAUCUGUGCAAAACUGCUACAGUGGACGGCAUGGACAUUCUGUGUGUGAGGGAGUCCAAGUUUGCUGCAGACCACUGAAGAGCCUGGAAGCUGAACUGUGAUUGGUUGUAGAACUGGAGAAGAGGAGUUCUGAUUGGUGCAGAGAUGGGAAAGUUAUAACUGGUUUAAGAGCUUGAGGAGUGUUAAGAAUACAUUUGUCUCAGACAAUCUAAUCCCAGAGUGAUGAAAAGCUUCUAGUGUCACGUCAGUGUCUCUUCCCUGACACAGGGAGGCUAUGUGACCAACAAAGAGAGACUAUUCCAGAGACUACUCCAGUACAGAACUGCAACUGUUCCCAGUUUUAAAUUAAAUAGUACCUGCAAAACACCAGUCUGGCCUUCUAGGCAGAGUUGCAAAGAAAAAGCCAUAUCUCAGACUUGCCAAUAGGGAGUAGUACACAGCGUUGUACGGGGUGUUCAGUUUCUUGGCAAUUUCUCAAAUGGAAUAGCCUUCAUUUCUCAGAACAAGAAUAGACUGACGAGUUUCAGAAGUCUUUGUUUCUGGCCAUUUUGAGCCUGUAGUUGAACCCACAAAUGCUGAUGCUCCAGAUACUCAACUAGUCUAAAGAAGGCCAGUUUUAUUGCUUAUUUAAUGAAAACAACAGUUUUCAGCUGUACUAACAUAAUUGUAAAAGGGUUUUCUAAUGAUCAAUUAGCCUUUUAAAAUGAUCAACUUGGAUUAGUUAACACAACGUGCCAUUAGAACACAGGAGUGAUGGUUGCUCAUAAUGGGCCUCUAUCUACAUAAACAAUCAUCCAUUUCCAGCUGCAAUAGUCAUUUACAACAUUAACAAUGUCUACACUGUAUUUCUGAUCAAUUUGGGGUUAUUUUAAUGGACAAAAAAAUGUGAUUUUCUUUCAAAAACAAGGACAUUUCUGUGACCCCCAACGUUUGAAAGGUAGUGUACAGUUUACAGACACAGUAUAUUUUACAUUUGCUUUUACAUUUGUUAUUAGUCCCACCCUUCAGCUCCAUUCAAUCCUCCAAUCUAUCUCUUAACACCAUCUAUAUAGGAUUUCUAUUUGCCAUAUAUUUUUCAACUGUGAUGCUUCUCAGAAGUUCUGAACCUUUCUAUUCUCAUAGAUUCUACAGAUUGUAAAUUAAAGAUACUUAAAUAUCUGGAAAGCUGGGAAGGUUGUAUCUCCCAGAUAUGUAAAAAACAAAUAUGAGCUGGCGCACACCCAGAAUAAUAGUUUGUGUAGAGGUGCUGACUAACGGAGGAUAAACUAUCAAAAUAAAGAAAGUCGCACACUCCAUGUAUAAUCUCCCAGCAAUUUAAUGGGUAUUUACCAACGUUUCAGCAUCUCUGUGCCUUCCUCAGGGUAAUCAAAUCAAAUUGAUUUAUAUAGCCCAUUGUACAUCAGCUGAUAUCUCAAAGUGCUGUACAGAAACCCAGCCUAAAACCCCAAACAGCAAGCAGUGCAGGUGUUGAAGCACGUUGGCUAGGAAAAACUCCCUAGAAAGACCAAAACCUAGGAAGAAACCUAGAGAGGAACCAGGCUAUGAGGGGUGGCCAGUCCUCUUCUGGCUGUGCCGGGUGGAGAUUAUAACAGAACAUGGCCAAGAUGUUCAAAUGUUCAUAAAUGACCAGCAUGGUCAAAUAAUAGGUCUGGGACAGGUAGCACGUCCGGUGAACAGGUCAGGAUUCCAUAGCCGCAGGCAGAACAGUUGAAACUGGAGCAGCAGCACAGCCAGGUGGACUGGGGACAGCAAGGAGUCAUCAUGCCAGGUAGUCCUGAGGCAUGGUCCUCCGAGAGAGAGAAAGAAAGAGAGAAUUAGAGAGAGUAUACUUAAAUUCACACAGGACACCAGAUAAGACAGGAGAAGUACUCCAGAUAUAACAAACUGACCCUAGCCCCCGACACAUAAACUACUGCAGCAUAAAUACUGGAGGCUGAGACAGGAGGGGUCAGGAGACACUGUGGCCCCAUCCAAUGAUACCCCCAGACCGGGCCAAACAGGAAGGAUAUAACCCCACCCACUUUGCCAAAGCACAACCCCCACACCACUAGAGGGAUAUCUUCAACCACCAACUUACCAUCCUGAGACAAGGCCGAGUAUAGCCCACAAAGAUCUCCACCACGGCACAACCCAAGGGGGGCGCCAACCCAGACAGGAAGAUCACAUCAUUGACAUCACAUCAGUGACAGUAAUGUCAUGAGUACUUGAACCAGGUUAUGUAGACACACAGUGCAAUUAGUGUAACCAAUGACAGUACUGCGAGGGGUGUCAUAAUGAUUAAGUUAAUAAAAAAAUGUGAAAAUGUUAAAAAAUUGUAUAUGGCAUAUUAAAUAUAUUAUGCUAUUGUUAUCAUAUAGAAACAUAAUGGAAUAUUGUACAUCAUAUUAGCAUCAACAUACAUUGUUUCUUUCAAUUUCACAUAAUUUCAUUUUUGUUUUGGUUCAACCUUAAUAUAUAAUGAACAUCAUCAACACAGGGAACAUAUUAGGUGUACUGUACGCUAAUAAGCUGUAAAAAAUAAUAAUAAUAAUUGUAAGACUUGUUCAUAAAGGAAAAUGUGUUCAUAAGAAGGGCCAGAGAUCAAAGUCAAUAUUCAGACCACUAGGGGUCAAUGUUUUUAGAUAGGAUAUCCAGUAAGCCUCCCUUUGUAGUAGUAGGAUCUCGAUGUUACCUCCUCUCCUUGGUAGAGCAACAUGCUCAUUGCCUGUGUAGUUGAGGGAGGAGAUGGGAUGGUUAGCUUCAACAAAGUGAGCUGCUACUGGAUAGUCAAUGUUCUUACACCUGAUUGAGCUGCGGUGUUCAGCUAUGUGUUGUUUUAAUUGUCUUUUUAUUUGUCCUACAUAGGCUUUUCCACAUGAACAGGUGUUGAGAUAGAUUACUCCCUUGGUCUUGCAUGAGAUGAUACCCCUAACAUGGAUCUUUCGACCUGGAUGUGGGUGUCUGAAGAAAGACGUUUUUAUAGUACUAUUGCACUGUGCACAUGAGCCACAUGUGUAGUUCCCAUUUGGGAUAGGUGUCAAGAGUGGGCUCAGGGGGCAUGUCAGAUCUCACCAAACUAUCUCCAAUAUUGCAUAAACAUAGCGUGCAUCCUGGUGGUUGCAGUGGACUAAUUCCCUGGAUAGAGAAUGGAAUAUUAUAGGUUUGAAUCUCACUGAUGCCGCAUCACAAUAAAGAAUUACAUUUUGCAUGUUUAAUGCCUAAGGAAAUUAAUGUAUAUAUGUCUAUAUAGGUAUGUGUGAAUGCGUGUAUGGAUAUAUAUAUCUGCUAAAUGACGUAAAUGUAAAUAUAUUUACCAAAAAAAUGUAUGGGGGACUGGAAAUGAUGCAGACAAUUACAUUGAUGGAAGCAACAUUCUUUCCGCAAUAUUAAGCUGAUCCACCCCUUAAAAUGAAAAAAUAUGAAUUUCCAUGUUUCCUAUCUGUACUUGAAGUAAAAAAUCAAUAAAAAAAAGUUUACGCCAAGUCAGCUAGCAGUGUUAUUAAAAGUUGUAUUGAAACUUUCAGUGAACGUUUUUAAGGAAGUUAUUUAAAAAACUCCAAAUAUAUUUCUGUUCUCAGAGCAUUAAUACAACCUCCAUAAAAACACUUUCCAGGAACCAGAGUAAAAUGUUCUCAGAACCUCCCUGCAUCCUAAAAAUAAACCAUCCCAGAACAGACCAAAUGCACACUUGUGUUUUCAGAAUGUUGAAAAAACAUUCUGUUUUACCAGGCAGGAAAUGUAUGGCUUUGUUCCCACAACCUUUUUAAAAACCAAAAACAUACACUAUGUUCCCACAACUUCCAAGGAACCAAAUGUGCUAGUUGGGAAAUGUUUGGUAAAGCAGUGUCAGUACAAGACCCAUCGCACAGAAACAGACAGCAGAUUUUGUCAUUGUUAUUUGUUGAUAUCCUCUGUUUGAGCCCUAAUGGAGGGUGAGUGUUGACGGAGGACCCCGUUGAAGGCUGCUUUGCAUGUUGGUUGUUUUUUUACUGGGGCAGGGAUAGGGUCAGGGUGGCACAGAGCAUCCUUUUCUCCUAACCCCGCAAAGCAUCCGCUCAACUAAUGCAAAGUUUUUUUGCAUAGGAAAAUGAAAGUGUAGUCUUUAAAGGCUGAGGAGUUAACUAGGCAUGCAUGUUCAUUACUUUUGGAUCCAUCGACACUAAAGGUAAUAUAACUAUUUAAUUAAUUACCAGACCUGAAACUCUUGGCUGGUAAGACUAAUACUAACCUGUUCUACAAGAAAGUGUUGAAAAUGUGUCUGUACCCUAAAUCAUUAUCUGCUCAAUGUAUUGAUAAGCAAAUCUUAGUUUGUGGGUUAUAUACCCUCAAAUCCAUAUUUUUUUUACGGUACUAUCAAACCUAAUUUACAUUAGAAAUGUAUUACUACUCAAAAGAUUACAUGUAUACAUUAUGCUCAUUGUUUCAUGUAUUAAGAUAAUUGUAUGUCUGUUUAGUCUUCCCUCGGUCGGAAUAUAUGUGAAGCUCUAUAAACUAUCCACAGUUCCACACCCAUAAUAACACAUGAAAUAUACCAGAUGUUCUUUGUGGACAGAGCCAAACUGAUUUGCCUCGGAUGCAAAUAUCUACUGUUGUGCUGGGGAUGGAGGCUCAAGCUGCAGGCAACAUGAUACAGAAGACUGAGUGACAUUUGAAUCUCAACAGUGGAAAGGGCUUUUCAUACCCUUUGGGCCUAUCCUUGGUUUUUCAGAGAUUUGGAUUUACAAUAUUCAUGAGCCAUGGGGAUGCAUGAUGUCAUUGUUAAUUAAAUGUUAUUUUAGCCACAGUAAUAAUGUAGAUUCAAUAUUCUGGCUGUGGUGUAUGAUACAUUAAAUACAUUCCUUCCA